AGUAAUUUAAUGGCCGCAGUAAUUUGACUGUGCAAAGGUAGCAUAAUCAUUAGUUUUUUAAUUAAAAGCUUGAAUGAAUGAUUGGACGAAAUAAAGUCUGUCUUUAUAUUAAAUAUAGAACUUAAUUUUUAAGUAAAAAAGCUUAAAUAUUAGUAAAAGACGAGAAGACCCUAUAGAUCUUUAUACAAUAUAGUUUAUUUUUAAUUAAGAUUAUUUAAUGAAUUAGAUUUUAUUGUAUUUUAUUGGGGUAAUAAAAAGAUUAAUUAAAUUCUUUAUUUAUUUUACAAAAAUUCUUGAAUUAAUGAUCCUUUAUUAUGGAUUUAAGAUUAAGUUACCUUAGGGAUAACAGCGUAAUUUUUUUAGAGAGUUCUUAUCGAUAAAAAAGUUUGCGACCUCGAUGUUGGAUUAAAAAUUAAUUUUAGGUGUAGUAGUUUAAAAUUUUGGUCUGUUCGACCAUUGAAUUUUU
rnacentral:rRNA from 1 species